GAUGAACGCUGGCGGCGUGCCUAAUACAUGCAAGUCGAGCGAACAGACGAGGAGCUUGCUCCUCUGACGUUAGCGGCGCACGGGUGAGUAACACGUGGAUAACCUCCCUAUAAGACUGGGAUAACUUCGGGAAACCGGAGCUAAUACCGGAUAAUAUAUUGAACCGCAUGGUUCAAUAGUGAAAGACGGUUUUGCUGUCACUUCUAGAUGGAUACGAGCCGCAUUAGCUAGUUGGGAAGGUAACGGCUUACCAAGGGGACGAUGCGUAGCCGACCUGCGAGGGUGAUCGGCCACACUGGAACUGAGACACGGUCCAGACUCCUACGGGAGGCAGCAGUAGGGAAUCUUCCGCAAUGGGCGAAAGCCUGACGGAGCAACGCCGCGUGAGUGAUGAAGGUCUUCGGAUCGUAAAACUCUGUUAUUAGGGAAGAACAAAUGUGUAAGUAACUAUGCACGUCUUGACGGUACCUAAUCAGAAAGCCACGGCUAACUACGUG
rnacentral:rRNA from 1 species